rnacentral:tRNA from 1 species
GCAGUGGAGGUUCAUUGGUAGAAUUCUCACCUUCUAUGCAGGAGACCCAGGUUCGGUUCCUGGCCAGUGCA